AGGGAUUUAAGUUAAAAAAACUAAUAGCCUUCAAAGCUCUAAUUGAUAUCUCAAAUCAAUCCCUA
rnacentral:tRNA from 1 species